UGCCACACCUGUGAGGUGGAUGGAUUAUCUCGACAAAGGAGAAGUGCUCACUAACACAGAUUUAGACAGAUUUGUGAACAAUAUUUGAGAAAUAGGCCUUUUGUGUACAUAGAAAAAGUCUUAGAUCUUUGAGUUCAGCUCAUGAAAAAUGGGGGCAAAAACAAAAGUGUUGCGUUUAUAAUUUUGUUCAGUGUAUGUAUCUAUCAGUAUGAAGUCUUAUGAUGAGAAAAAUCUGUACCAAGUAAUCUAUUACUAUCUAAAACACCUUAAUUUACAAAGUGUUUUUUUUUUUUUUUAAACUUUGCAUAAAUGUAGAUUAAUGAACCAGUUUUGUGGUAUAGAUCAUGUCCCUGCAGUUUCACUGCUCAAUUCUCUGCCAUUUAGGAGUUAAAUAACUUUCUAUAUACAGCCAUAGCCACACCUCUCUUCAUGUAAGUGCACAGCCUUCCUAAACACUUCCUGUAAAGUGAGAUCUAAUGUUCACACUUUCUUUAUUGCAAGUUCUGUUUAAAUUAGAAUUUCUUAUAUCCUGCACUGUUAGUAGCUUGCUAGACCAUACAGGAGCCUCUGUAUGUGACUUAAGUUAAAUUUACAGAGCAGGAGAUAAUGUGUGAUUGAAAAUGAAACCAUUUUUCCAUGCAGGCUGUGUCAGUCACAGCCAAAGGAGGUGUACCUAGGAGUGCAUAAACAGAAACAAAGGUGAUUAAACUCCUAAAUGGCAGAGAAUUGAGCAGUGAGACUUGAGAAGCAUGAGCUAUAUACUAAAACUGCUUCAUUAAGGUACAUUUGUUUUGUUGACUAUAGUGUCCCUUUAAGGUACAACCUCUUAAAGAAUUUAUAAUUCAGACUAGGUUGUCAAAUUUAAGAAGUUAGGGUUAUAUAUAUUCCAGAACUCUGGUUUUAAUAGAUACUCUGCCGCUGCUGCCCAAUGCUGAAACAUCUUUGCUGUACGAUAAGUAAUAAGUUAAAGAUGACUGCGAGGGUCAUCACAGUCUUCUCAUGGAUUACGUGCAUGUUCCUUUAAUGGCCCUUUGUAGUGGUGCUGUGGACAGGGAAUCCUAAUAACAAGCAGAUCCAUCACUUCGGGAGAUAGGAUAGGAGAUAGGAAGAGAAAAGUUUUAUUUAUUUAUUUAUUUUCUUACCUCCACCCUCCUUUAACCCCUUAAGGACCAAACUUGUGGAAUAAAAGGGAAUCAUAACAUGUCACACAUGUCAUGUGUCCUUAAGGAGUUAAAGGCUUUACUGCCUAUUAUUAUUCUUAUUAUUAUUUUUUUUAUGAUAUUGUGGUUGGCUUUCUCACUAUAUUCUUCCUCAUUCCCAUUUGCAGUUCUGCAGAUGACCGGGUAUAUUACAGCAAGCACUUUGUCAGAGGUUACCUCUCCUUACCGGACUAAAUCUGGAUUCAGCCACCUUUAUCUGAUUGUUUCUCCUAUAAACUCCAUUUAGUUUUUUCGGGCUCAGUCUGUUACCUUUGUUCAAUCUUGUUUUUCACACAUUUAAGUCACUGAGUCCUCUCUAACACAUUUAUUUGUUGAAAUAAAAAUUCAAUGUGAAUUCAAAGUGAAUUUCAAAUUUAAGGUCAAAACAUCCGAACUAGAACAAUUCUGUAACACAUCUAUGCUUUCUCUCUGAUUGCUUUGGUGUUUAAAGGAACACUAUAGUGUCAGGAAUAGAAAUCUGUGUAGCUGUAAUAACAUAUUUUAGGUGAUCAGCACUCCUGUAAUUGAUUCCACCCUUCUGUGACGUCAUUUACAUCAUGACGUCACUGUGUAUGCCUCACGUCAUAAAAGGGGGUGAAGUUACAGCACCCUGCGUCCAAAAAGCUGGUAAAAGAAUCAGAGGUGCAGGGAAGAUUGGUACCUCCCGCCAAUGUUACAUGGGUGCCCAGAGGAGACCGCACAAGAGAUACCCUAUCACACACCCCACAAUCUCAUAAAAACGAUGACCAUUAUUGCAAAUUAAAUUUGUUUAAACAAAUCCAAGAAAAUGAGGUCUGCGCAACCAGAUUAGGUGUGCACACCAUGGCGCUACCAAUCUUGUAUUGAAGGACAGCGUUAUGUAGUAAACAUUUCGGGUACAAGUCCUUUGUCAAUGCAUGUGUUCCUUUAAGGGCCUUAUGGGAGUAACCGUGCUGCUGGUUACAUUUGUUUAAUACGGAAUACAUUUCUAGCUGUCCUGUUGUAGAUGCUUCUUUACAUAAUUUGAGGAAUAGAGCUCAUUUUAUUUUGUGAGCAUGUAACAUAUCAAUUUUGUUCUUUCUAGAUCUGGUUACUUCCUUUUUACAAUAUGCUCCGUCACUUCCCCAUGAUGUGUAUUUUUUUUUUUUUUUUUUUAAAGGACUACGUGGAAUCAAAAACACAGAACUCUAUUAAAAUUCUCUAAAGGAGAGACAAAACAUUUCUGCAAACAACAAUGUAGCACACCUUGUUAAUCAAUAUCAGUAAUACAAAAUGUGUUCGCUGUUAUUCGAGUUACUAUAUGAAUAGUUGGCAAUCAAUCAUGUGGAUAAAAAUAAUACAUUUGUAAAAUAUUAACACAAGAAUCCAGCCACCGAAAACAUGGUAACAUAUAUCGUGAUAGAUUUAAAGGGACACUCUCUAAAGACUAUCAUUACAGCUUUGUGUCUGCUUAUCAUUAACAUUUUAUUGUGAUUCGUGGACUGUGGUUGUUAUGGUGCUUAGAGUAUGCUUUUCAUUCUUUUUUUUUGUUUGUUUUUUCAUUUAACAAAGUUUGAGUGGGAAAAAAAGUGCAUUCAUGUUAAAUGGCCGUGAGAGAUGGAUUGUUUUUUUUAUUGGAGAGUAGAGUUACUGGUGGUGGGCUUAGCAGUUGCUCCUCUCAGUUACAGGCAAAAUCUUUUGGUUUGCCCAUAACAAUGUAUUUUUUUUUAUACAUCCUUUGAUCAUUUGGGGAUGAGAUGUGGGAAGAGCCUGAACAUUUUAAAUUUUUAUUUUUUAUUUUUUUGGCUAAAUCAACCUCUGAUUCUAAUACAUUCUAUCUAUAUUAGUUCUAAGUAUAGCAAUAUACUGUGGUAGAGGCAUUAAGAGCAAUGUCCCAUCAGAUAAGUCCUGCUAGGCUCUUUAUUGUAUUAGCAAACACCGUUUGUAGUCUCUGAGAAUAUUUUUGAUGAGACUGAAGUUAUUCCUUUUCUCGGUUUUUGUGUAUUUAAAUUUUUUUUUUUUUCCCCCUCUAUUACAAUGUGUGUUUUAUUUUAUUCCUACGCUUCUGCAAU